UUACAUUUUAGAAGGCUCCCUUUAGCUAUUGAAUGGGACCUGGACUGAAUUCGAAGAGCAGAUGGAGCCAUCGAUCCACUACAGACACUGUGGUAGCUGGGUCCUGGGAAAUGCUCAGAUGUGGGGACAGUUUGAGAGGAGAGCCACUGGGAUUUCUUGAUGGGAUGGAUGAAGGAAAGAAAAAGGAGCCAAAGAUGACUUCUGAUACUGGACCCGUACGUGAAAGUACAGAAGUGCCAUGGGAGGGGAUGAGGCGGCUUGCAGGGGUGACCUUCAAGGUUGAUCAUUCUGAGCUGGGUGAUAAGUUAAUGAUGUGGUAAGUUAAAGAUGCCCAUUUAGCAACUAAGUACAGAUAUCAAGUAGAAAGUUGGACACGAGGUGGGGAGUGGGGCAGUACUCAGGGCUGGAGAUAAGAAUCUGGGGAUCACCAGCAGGUACUCAAAACCAUGAGAUAGGGAAAGCCACUAAGAUGGAGGAUGGAUGGAAAAGUAGCUGGCAGACUAAGCUGCAGAAUUCUUUCUGUCAAGGACAGGAAGAGGGGCAUCAGUAAAGGAUACAAAGAGGGGGUGAUGGGGGAAGGAGAAGCUAGAAGAGGGGUCCAGGAGUCCAGUGAGGGACAAGCAUCAGGGAUGGAAGGGUGACUAGACAUGUCAAAGAGAACCAACAUCUAUCUGGCAGCCAGUGCUGGCCCCACCUACGACAGCCCAGUAAACGAGAGCCCAUUCUUAUUUUUAUAAAUGCCAUCACUGUGAGGAGGGAGUCAGGAGUGUGACAAAUGCUAAGCCUUCAUGCUCCAUCACACAGAGUAAAGAGCUGAUUCUCAAACGGUAAAUCAUGAAACUGCUGCUUAAGCACAUACAGUUCAGAAAAGCAGCUCCAGAAGGGCCAAACAGUUGCCUGGAGGAGAGGCUGGGCAGAGGAUGCACAGCCAGGACAGGGGAUUUCAGAAGUGAGCCUUUGCUGUGAUUCGAUUUUUUUUUUAAUCUAUCAUGUAUGCAAUUCUUUUGUGAGGAAUUUAAGGGACACUGAGAGGACUUCUGUGCAUGGGCUCACACCACAGGGGAGGGUGAUUCACAGUGUUGCAGAGGCCUGUGUGGCUGUUGGUCUCCUGUCCAAGGACCCAUGCUUUAGUGCAGGUUGAUUUAAUCUUUCAUUCUUGCUGCUGCUUGUCCUGCUGGGGAGUGAAUCACAGGCCUUACACGCGAUAGGAAAGCAUUUUGUUACUGAGCUGUAUCCUUCCACCCGACUCCACAGGGUACCACUAGGGUGCCCAGGCUGUCCUUGAACUUGUAUGCAUCCUGCCUGAGCCUAAGGCAUCUUAUUCUUACCCACUAGGCUCUUUGCUGGCUCAGUGACAGGAGCCCUGCCCUGAGAAGGCUAGGAAUGACCCAGGCUCUAAGGGAAGGAAGUAAUUAGAUCUCUUUCUCUCAGGCUGUCUCUUCUGCUUACUCUCUGCUGCUGGAAUGGGGUAGCAAAUGAGCUGCCAUAGCUCUACCUGCCCCUACCACCCCACCGUCUCCCAGGACAAGCGACUCUGUAACACCCAGGCUCAGAAAAGACCUUCCUGCAUUAGUAAAUGAGGAUUCUCUGGAGAUGAACAGAAAUGCAGGUCCAGAAAUUCAAGCCUCGGGUAUGAGCAAGGCGAUGAUGCUUCUGGAGUCUGGGGAGGAUCUCUCCUAUCCCUUCCGGUUCCCAGGGCUCCAGGCAUUCCUUGGCCUCAUCUGGCUUGCCACAUUCUCCUGCAAGUGACCAGCCGACAUGGUUGAACCCAGUAGACUAUGCUACGUGGAAUAAGCCAGUCACAGAAUAUGGGAGAACCACUUUCUAAAUGUCUGCUAGAAGAUUGGGAGUUUGAACCCAGUUCUUAGACGUGUGCUCCAGCCCACUUUCCUGCUUUGGCCUUUCUUAUCCUUUGGCCUUCUUAGUUUUCACACUUAAAUUCCCACUGAGAGGGUGGUGGCGAAAGUCUGCUUGUUUUGUCUCAGCUUCUCCCAUUUCUUCUUAACGAUCAUUUAGAAGCUGAAGCCUUAGAAGCCGGCAGGUAAAACUAGGCACUGGGGCACAACUGUGACCCCAGCUUCUCAGAAGAUGAGGCAGGAGGAUUGCUUGAGCCCAGGAUUCCAGUGCCACCCUAGGCAACACAGUGAGGGGACCCGAGAGAGAGAGAGAGAGAGAGAGAGAGAGAGAGAGAGAGAGAGAGGGGGGGGGGGGAGGGGGAGAGGGGGAGAGGGGGAGAGGGAGGAGAGGGAGGAGAGGGAGGAGAGGGAGAGAGGGAGGAGAGGGAGGAGAGGGAGGAGAGGGAGGAGAGGGAGGAGAGGGAGGAGAGAGAGGGAGAGAGGGAGAGAGGGAGAGAGGGAGAGAGGGAGAGAGGGAGAGAGGGAGAGAGGGAGAGAGGGAGAGAGGGAGAGAGGGAGAGAGGGAGAGGGGAGAGCUAAGCCCAGAGUCAGUGCUGGCUGCAAGCUUCACGCUGCUCUAGGCCUUGUGUUAGAACUGUAGCUUUGAGUCCAUGCACCUGUGUUCUUUUCAGCUGAGAUUCCCCUAAAAUUCCCUAUGGGGAAAGUUUUACCAAAGUAAAUCUUUUUGGCUUAUAAUGAAGUCUUGUAGCUGCCUAAAAGUGAAACCGUGCAAAGGUUUGGGAUGCGAAGCAUGCACCUUCACUGCAGGACCCAGGUGUUUACAGCUCCUUACCUUCCCUCUCCUCCUCCACCCUCACCCCCUUCUGCCCACCUCCUCCUUUUCUUCUCCUCCCUCUUCUGCUUCCUUCUCCUGUUUCUUCUCUUCACAGUGUAUGUUCCUUGUUCUGUGGAGGCAGUGAACUUGGCCGCGGGAGAAUACAAUGGAGUGGACUGAUUGGAGGCCGUAGUGGUUUCUUCCCACUCACUCUUCGGCUGUUCUUGAACUCAGUAGCAGGACCUAGGAGGCAGUUAGCAACGAUUCCAGGAUUCCACGACAUCUUGCCCUGCUGCCUGCUGUUCCCUGGAGCCUCAGUUGCCUGGCAAGCACACAGCAGGACCACGAUUCUCUGGGGAUUAGGUUUCUCCAUUCUCAGUGUGGGAAUGAGACUGUUUCCUCCCUCACAGGUGGCCGCAAGGAAUUAUAAACCAAUAAAGUGAUUGCUUAGCAUAUGGCUGAAUGUCAAGGGUAAUAUAAAUGCUUAAUUUCAUUUAUUUAAUAGUAGUUCAGUUGCUGUGGAAACUCUAACUUCUCAAUUUCUUGACACUUAUCUGUGCUAUUGUUUUAAAAUGAAAUUUUACAUUUAAAUCCUGUG
rnacentral:lncRNA from 1 species